UGGGGAAUAUUGCACAAUGGGCGCAAGCCUGAUGCAGCCAUGCCGCGUGUAUGAAGAAGGCCUUCGGGUUGUAAAGUACUUUCAGCGAGGAGGAAGGCGUUGUGGUUAAUAACCGCAACGAUUGACGUUACUCGCAGAAGAAGCACCGGCUAACUCCGUGCCAGCAGCCGCGGUAAUACGGAGGGUGCAAGCGUUAAUCCGAAUUACUGGGCGUAAAGCGCACGCAGGCGGUCUGUCAAGUCGGAUGUGAAAUCCCCGGGCUCAACCUGGGAACUGCAUCCGAAACUGGCAGGCUAGAGUCUUGUAGAGGGGGGUAGAAUUCCAGGUGUAGCGGUGAAAUGCGUAGAGAUCUGGAGGAAUACCGGUGGCGAAGGCGGCCCCCUGGACAAAGACUGACGCUCAGGUGCGAAAGCGUGGGGAGCAAACA
rnacentral:rRNA from 1 species